rnacentral:rRNA from 1 species
GGGGGCAUGGGCGCAGCCUGAUCCAGCAAUGCCGCGUGAGUGAAGAAGGCCUUCGGGUUGUAAAGCUCUUUCAGUCGAGAAGAAAAGGCUGCAGUGAAUAACUGUAGUUCAUGACGGUAUCGACAGAAGAAGCACCGGCUAACUACGUGCCAGCAGCCGCGGUAAUA